AAUAAUGAUGUGAAAAGCCCAAAUAGAAUCCUAGAAGGGGGAAGCCUCCUCACAAUGUGAAGAAAGGUCCUGAAUAUAAGAACAUUACUAUGGAAAUACAGCUUCUCACAACUAUGAAAAAAAAUAUCAUGUGCAUAGCAAAAUGCAAUUGCAUCCUUUCGAUGUUACAAAAUAUCUCAUAGCCUAAAACAAUGUUUGCCAUGCAUUUCUAUCCCCAUUUUGAUCAUAAAAUUUACUGGCCAACAGGGAAAUUCUGGAUUUCAAAAUUAGUUUUUGAUCAUGACUAGACACUACUUGGAGUCCAGUGGUGCAAACAGGAACCUUCUACCUAGAUGAUAGUUCAGCACAUCAAGGUUUCUCUUCCUUCUGUAGGAAGAAAACAUGUAAAUUCUUGGAAACAACCAACCUUCUUUUGACAAUGGUAGCGCUUGCGCGAGCAAUCAGCUGAACAAGAAUUGCAGUGGUACUCAACAGCUGGCUCCUCAGGCCUCACUAACUCUUCUGCAAGUGAAGACUCUGG
rnacentral:misc_RNA from 1 species